rnacentral:lncRNA from 1 species
GGAUUUACAAGGACCUUGCUGUGGAUUUUGAUCUUAGAAUCAGAGCCAAGUAUGGAAAGUUCAAGAGUAGUCGUUUCAAUACACCCAUUGUUCAGUGUCGCCGAUUGAGGGUUCCUUUGAUUUCUAAUGGUAAAUCAGUACCUCCUUUUAGUGUCACCAGAUGCAAAAGUGCUUCUUUCUUCUCAGAUCGUGAUGCGCCUGAUGUUGAUGGAUAGGAGCUGCAGGCUGAUAUGAAACCUCUAUAAUCAGUUGACCAUGUCAGUUAAUCUGUACACAAUUUUUCCAUUAAAAAUAAUCUGCAGAGAGAUGUGUAAAGGUGUUACAUGGAUAUAUAUACACCAUAACAUAUAAAAACACUCUCAUGUAUGUUGUAUACAAAAAAUAAAGGAAAAUACUCAAUUUAUGUAUCAUUUUGAUUUUCUUAUGUUAUAUGAUAUUUCAGCUGGUUGUUGUUCAUUUCUUUGUAGUCCCCAUGAUUGUGAUUGAUGAUAUACUGUAAUGUUUACUUUUAAUUUCCAAAAGUAGAUACAUACGUGGAGAGAGGUGGAAACUUGAGAAUUGCAUCUUUUGGUAAACGAGAAUUCACACACGCCAAUUAUAUAGAAUUUGUCAUGGAUAUAUCAUUCCCAUCAACGUAAACUUCACCAGCCAAUUUUCCUCUAAAGCAUCAACAUCAACUGGUCUUGUAUGACAUUUUUUUUAUUCAUAAAUGGCAAUAAUAGUAGGAACAUUUUAAUAGCGACAUGUUGUCUGUGUUUAAAAAGUAAAAAAAAAUGGAAUAAUUAAUUUCUUCACAACUGGGAAUUUUAUAUGAAACUUGUCGUUUGGAAAUGGUUUUAAUUGACCUAUUUACACAUCUUUUUAUUUUCACAAAUGAAUUUAUUUCAAUAUUCUAUUUAAAUAUUUAAUUAUCGUUCAUCCAUCUUCCAUGUUGGUCAAUAACCCCUCUACAUGAUAAGGAUUAACCUCAUGCAUUUGAUUAAACAUUAACCUCAUGUUAGUUCUUAAUUAUUUUAUAAAUUAAUCCGAAGACAGCCGUCCUUAUCCAAAAUUACCUUCUUUCAUAUAAAAAUCUCUUAUAAAAAUAUUUCUGAUUUAACUAUAAGAAAAAAUAGUUAAUUUUGCACUAAUUAAAAAAUUCAAUUUAUUAUUUACUUGUAGUAAUCUCAAUUAAAAAAUAAUUUUAACUUAAAUGUACUUUCAAUUCAUAUGAUCAUUUUUUUUCUAAUGGAUCCAUGCGGUUAUAAAAAUUCCUAAAAAUAGCUGGCGUGACAAAUAAUUGCUGGCAUUAGAAAGUAGUUGUCAACAAAAAAUAUCAUAUUAUGAGUGUCACGUAAGUAAGGAAAAAAGACAAAAUUAUUGGGGUUAAAAACCUAAAUGGGAAAAUUUAAAUUUUAAAUUAAAUACUAAUAUAAAAUAAAUACUUAAGUAAACCUAACUAAACUUUAAUCUAACUUAGCUCAGAUUUACAAAACUUGAGUUUGUUUUAUUUUAUUGUAGAUUCAUUUUUAAGACUUAGUUUGUCCUAUUUGAAAGUCUAACAUAUAUUUUUAAAGAUUUUAGAUAAACCGACAAACAUGAACCAAGGCACAUUUUAGUUUUAUAGAACCACAAUCUUGUGUCACAGUUGCAACUUAAGUAUUUAUCCUAUCCAUUUGUGAAUAUUUUUGGAAUAUCUGCAGGGUUCGAAUACACUUUUUCAUCCUUAAAAAUUACCAAUUUAGCAUAAUAAUUACACUUUAAAGGCCAAAAUAAAAAAAUGAAACUUAAAAGACCACAAUAUAAUAAAAAUAUAUAAAUAAGAAAUCAAAAUUAUAUUUAACCAAAAAUAAUAAUAAAAGAACUCAAAAUGAUCCUAAUAAAAUAUAAAGUUAACUUAUUUUUUAAAGUUUGAACCUAAAAUAUUGUGCGAGCUACUCAAAUUCCCAAAUCCCUACAUACAUGGCUAGGGAUGACAAUAGGUGGGUUUUGGAUAGGAUCUUAUAGUGUUGAUUCUCAUACCUGUGUUUUAAAAAAAUCUUCAUACCCGGUCUCAUAGCUUGACAGAUAGUAACUUUAACCCUCAUCUUGUUUCUAUUAGAUACUUAUAUACUCAUAAUCACACUUGCAACUCACACUAAUGUAUAAAGUUAAUAAAUCAAGUCAAGUUAAUACAUAAUCCUGAGUUGUCUAAACUCAAGUCAAUACACAAAAAUUACAAAAAUAAUAAUUUAACAUUAUGAUUCCUAAAGUUAAUAUUCUAAUCGCUUAAUAAAAACUCUAAUUAAACUUGAAUAUCAUGGAUAAUUUAUGUGUGUGUAUAUGUGACAUGUACAUAACAAGAGGAGUGAGUAUUAUAAUAUUCAUACCUGCACUCAUAUCUAUGUAAAUUUACAUAUAAAUAUUCGUUUUCCAUACCUAAUCUCAAUAUGUAGAUAAUUAUUCUUUUGACUUGUAAAUAAUUUUAUAGAUACCCGUAAGAUCAGGUGGACUUUUUUGUCCCUAUUGUACCAUAGUGAAUUUUUCUUUUGAGAUGCAUGUAUCUAUCAAUUGACACAUGCAUGAUAAGUAGUGAAAAAUAACAAAUUAUUAAAGAAAGUAUUUAAUAGGUUUUUUUUACGAAAGUAUUUAUUAGGUUAAAAGUUAAAAAAUUAAUCAAUGCUUUUUUUAUAAUUUAAAACACUUAAUAUGAUAUAUUAAAUAUUUUUUUACCAGAUGUCUUAAUACAGACACAAUUUCUUCAUCACAUUUUAUAUUGUGUACUCUCAUCUCCACGUUUCCUAGUUGUUAAUCAAACUAUAUAUUGAAGAAUUUUUCUUUACUCGGCUUCAAAAGUCAAUGCCUCGGUGCACUUGUAUUAUAUUUUGCAGGGAAAUCUCCCAGAAAAGAUCAAUCAACAAACCACACGCCUAAACCAUCAACGUCUAUACCCUUCAAAUACCCUUAGACAAGUGUUGGGAUUUACAAUGACUUGACUGUGGAUUUUGAUCUUAGAAUCCGGGCCAAGUUUGGAAGGUUGUUCAAGAGUAAUCGUUUCCAUCCACCAGUCGUGCAGUGUCGCCGUUUGAAGGUUCCUUUGAUUUUUAAUGAUAAAACAGCACCUCCUUUUAGUGUCACCAGAUGCAGUGCUGCUUAUUUCUUUUCAGAUCGUGAUGCUAAAGUCCAAGCAGAUGGAAAUGCAUUUAGUUACAUUACCAUUAACCAGGAAAAGUCACGGUGUCUUUUCUUCACCUUAUUUCAUUAAAUCAAUUUGAUAGCUCGAAUUUUGUGGCAAAAAGGUUUAUAGGCUUUAAUUGAAAAAUAAAAUAAAAAAUUAAACUUAAUAAUUUAAUGUGACAAAAUAAGUCUUAUGACAUUAUAUGACUAGAUCACUUUUUUUUUUUUUUUACUUUGAAAUUAAUAUGGUUUUUAUAUUUAGUUGUAUUCUAGCAGUUUUAUAUCAUCACAAAAAUUUCUUUUACAACAGGUGACAGAUGUGUAAACAGUAAGAUUGAUCUAAUGGCCUAAAAUGAGAGAAAACUACUUAACUUUUACCCCUUAAAAUCACUGAAUCCAUAACCAGAGCUUCCUGUUAUGAAACCUCUUUAACCCCUGGAUAUAUGGAUAUUUGAGCUGUUGCUGUCAGUUAAUUUGUGCACAAUUUUUCCAUUACCUCAAUCUGCAGUGCUAUGUAAAAGUGUUACAUGCAUAUAUAUACAUAAGUAUAUAUAUAUAUAUAUAUAUAUAUAUAUAUAUAUAUAUAUAUAUAUAUAUAUAUAUAUAUAUAAGUAUACAAAAAUAAAGAAAAAUUCUCAUGUUAUGUAUGACUUCGAUUUUCCAGACUGCUGUUUAUAUGUUAUUUCAGUUUUAAUUGGUAAAUUAGAAUUCACACACACGCAGAUUAUAUAGAAUUUUACAUGGGAUGUCACUUGACCAACCAAUGUUCCUCUAAGUCUCACGACUAGCCUUGUAUGAAAUUAUAUAUAUUAAUGAAUGAUUUUCAAAGCAGUAGGAAUAUUUAGAUGCGACAUGUUAUCGAUUGAGUUUAAAAAGUCAAAAAAAUGAAAUAAUUAAUUUCUUCACAAUUGGGAAUUUUAUGCAAGUUUGUUGGGAAAUGGUAUCAAUCGACCUAUAUUUACACAUCAUUUUUAUUCUCAUUCUUCAAAUGAAUUCAUUUCAAUUUGAAUAUUUAAUUAUUGUUCCAUCUUCCAUCUUUGUCAAUUAUAACCCUCUACAUGAUAAGGAUUAAGCUCAUGCAUUUGAUUAAACAUUAAAGCAUAGGAGCUAAAUGACUGUAUGAUUAUGACUAUGUGCUAGUUCUUAAUCAUUCCAAAAAUAUAUAUAUUCUCUAUCAUAUAAUAAAGUACUCAAGUUGUUUUUUUUUUUUUCAUCUUUUUCAAGAACACCGAAUGACGUAAUGCUAAUUAAUAAGUAUUUCAUUGUGAAGAUUCUGAAUUGCUACUUUCCUGGGAAACCACGUAGGCAAUGAUUCAUGACCCAAUUGGAUAUUUCGAAUAUAAGCACCACACUAGCAUGUUAUUGUCAACAGUAAGAAAUCGUUCACUGUGACAGUGUCUGUUCUCUUGCAUCUAAAACUACAAGAGACUGAUAUAGGUACAACACGGGUUACAUAUAAAUAGAGUGUUUUUUCUUACAAAGAAAAAAAAUGUGACACUAGAAGUCUAAGGAGUGCCACUAGAAAACGUUGCAAAAGCAAAUGAGUGACACUACAAGUCUAACUUCGCUCUUGGAUGUUAACAAAGUAAGUUCUACUAAGUUAGAAAAUAACUGUUGAUUACAUCUAGUCUAGAUCUUACAUUUUCCAAAGUUUUUAAGUUCUUCCAUUAGUAGAUCUGCCACUGAUUAAAGAAAACGUACCACACUCAGUACAAAGAUAUUAACAUUGAAGAAAUUAAUAUGCUAUUCCAGUUGGAGGCAUCUUUCGUUCCUCAGGCAUAUUGAACUACAUAAAAAGGAGACAACAUCUUGAAUCAGAUCAAAAUAAAUUCUCUACGUAUUUAAUAGUUCUACCUCUAUAUUCUCUACAUCUUGUAGUUUAAUGUGUCCUCUAUAUUCUCUACAUCUUGUAGUUUAAUGUGUCUUAACUCUUAAGGAAUUCUGCCCACUAUUAUAUUUACACAAUCAAAACCCAAAUAAUUAAGUAGGAGGUAAAGUUUAAUGGCUCUACCUGUUACAUAUCCAGUGAGGGUUUAUUCCUUUUGCUUCUAUGCAAUGAGGGCACAUCCAUCCCUUGUUCUUUCUCACUUCCUCUAUUUCUAAAACAGAACAAUAGUGAACAAUUUCAGACUACCAACAUGAGUAAUUUUUAAUAAGUCUUGUUAUAUUUUAGAAUAUCUCACUAUUGAGUUCAAAGCAUAACUUACAACUUUAUGAUGAAACAAAUUUUAUAACAUAAGAUAGUUUUUAUGUCAAAAAGAAUGAAAAAUAAGCAAUAACUUUAUAACAUAUAACCUCUAGAUGCAGGUAUGAGGGUGGGACAACUAAAACUAUUUCAAUUAAAUAUAUUAUACUACUAUAUAUCAAACAAAUAUAAAACCAAGCUCUUAAGAUUGGCCAAGGGUGGACUUAAUAUUAGUUAACAAAAGCUAAGUCAUGAAUACCCUUACUGUACAACCAAAGUUAAUGUGAAACCAAGGAUUUUUCUUAAUGCAAUUUUAAUUUGUUUGCCUUGUUUAGCUGCCCCUUAUCGUUGGCUGAACUAUUUUUUCUCACCUUCACCAUAUCAAAUCUUGAGACAGGCUCUACAAAAAACACCAGUGCUAGAGUGACAGACAGAACAAUCAGUCUUUCCUGUUAGGAAAUCAUUGUCAAACUGUUAAAACAUUGUGGAACUAAAGCAAAAAAAGAACUCAAAAUAAGACUUUUUAAAUCUGACCUAGGCAUGGUUCUUUCACAUCAAAAUUGCCACAUCUCUUGCAGUCUUCUUCGCCACACAAUUUCUUUUGCCUGCAUUUGUGUUUUAGUGUUACAUCGCAAUGUCAUCAACUCAUCAUCAUCAUCAUCAGCUAUACCAAAUACUAUUACACUUGUUUAUAUAUAUAGCUCCACAUUAAACCCAUUACCUAUUAGGAAAUUUCUCUACAUUGACCAGAUUGGAUAUAUGUCAAAUUGUUGGCAAUGACCAAACAGUAUCAUCAUUUUGUAUUAGCUUCUAAUAUAAAGCAUAUACCACAAGAACCUUAUACCCCAAAUAACAAACUAAUAUAAGCUUAUACUAUAAAGCAUAUACUACCAAACUGUGAACCUUAUACCCCAAUUCUAAUAUAAAGCAUAUACCACCAAACCGUGAACCUUAUACCCCAAAUAACAAACUAAUAUUAUCUUCUAAUAUAAAGCAUAUACCACCAAACUUUGAGCCUUAUAUCCCAAUAACAAACUAUGUAAAUUUGUGACUAAGGAUUAGUAAAACAUUAAAUUAAUCUCCAGUUGUUAACAAACAAAAGGGAGUGAGAAAAUGGACCUGCAAAAAUGGCAGCAUAUCCCCAAAAUUGGAUUGUAGACACUACCUCUGUCCUUGCUAUCACACCGCCGAGCAGAAUUCUCUGCUGAAAGCUGAAGAUCUACAUUGCUUAGGUUUAUGAAAGGAACAUUGGCAGGCCUCUGCUCCUCUUUUUUCACUUCACACAAAGUUACCUUCUUCUCUGUCACAAUUCACAGAAAAAGUUACCAAAACAAGCAGUGGUUGAAGAAAGAGUAAAUAGCAAUCAUGGUCUUCCAAAUAUAUACGCCUAGUGGUCACAUGCUACUUCACUUAUAAAAUACAUGAUACAUACUAGUCUUUCAAAAAUAGAGAAUGAUGCAAAAUGAUUCCUUAUGAAGGAGGAAAAAACUAAUGGCAUUAAUUUUCAAAUGAAGAACCAAUAUUGUUGCAGAAAUGUCAUGUGACAUGUAUGUUUUGGAGGAUCAAAAUAAUUGUACCUUUAAUUUGAUCCUACAAAGAUUAGAGUGUCACUAAAUUAGUCCUUCAAACAUUAAAAAAAUUCACUAUAUUAGUCUUCCAAAGGUACAAAUUAUUCUUCCUUGCAUUUGAAGGAUUGAAGUGGUGAUGCAAAAUACUAGUCCUUUAAGAGGGGAAAGGUGUGUGUGAUAUUUAGGAGGUUGUUCCAGAAAAGAGAGACAAGAAGAGUAAAGAAAAAAGCUUAAACCUUGUUUGAUGGGUGUGGAAUGCUGAGACUAAGAAGGUGGCGGCGUAAGGUUGUUGCUGAUUCGCUGAGAGUAGCGCAAAGGGGUGAGACCGUACAGUUUUUUUUGGUAAGUACGAGGUUGUUGUUGUUGUUGUUUCUUGGCUUGUUGUCGGAGCUGAGAAACGGUAUUCACAACACCCAAAGACUCCAACUGAAGCCUGAUUCUCUAACAUGCGAGCCUUUCUGAGAGCUUCAUACUCGCAUUUUGCUUUCUCUCUCACUCUCCCAAUUCUCUUCUUCUGAGACUUCACUCGUAAUAAUGUAACAUUACACUUUUCACUUUCUGUUAGAAAUGAUAGUAAUUCUGACUUUGUUGGUUAAGUCUUUCUAAUAUAGGAAGUUAGUUGGUUAGUUAAUAAUGAUGCAAUCAAGUUGUUAGUGAGGGGCCAAAAUGCAAAAUACAAUUCAGUCUCUGUCCCUCUUAUAAAUACUGUUUUCAUUGUUCUUUCAAUAAUAAUUUUUUCAGAUUCUUUCAUUUUCCUUAUUUGUUAGUUUUGCUUCUCUCUAAACCUCUCUCACUUUUCUCCUUCCUCAAGUUACCUCUUUGUGCGUGUGUGUGCGCAAGAACAGGAAGUUCUAACAGUGGUAUUUCAGAGCUAGGUUCGAAAAAGAGACCAAUUCUCCAAUCAUGGCUUCGAAUGGUCCUUUUCCCUUAAAUCUUCCAAUUCUAACCGGCAAGAACUUCAACAGAUGGAGUGUGCAAAUGAAAGUCUUGCUUGGAUUUCAAGACUUGACCGGUGUGAUUGAGAAUGGAAUAGAAAUUCCUAAAGAGGGAGCCUCAGAUUUGCAGAAGACUGAAUUCAAGGAUCUGAAGAAGAAAGACUGCAAAGCCUUGGUGAUCUUGCAUCAAUGUGUCGAUGAUUCUCACUUUGAGAAAAUCGAAAAUGCUAAAUCCGCAAAGGAAGCAUGGGACAUUCUGAACAAGGCUUAUGCAGGAGCUGAUAAGAUCAAGAAGGUGAGACUUCAGACUCUUCGAAGGCAAUUUGAAUUGCUGCAGAUGGAAGAGACCGAGAGCAUUGGAGAUUACUUUGGAAGAUUGCAGGUUCUUGCAAAUUCAAUCACUAGUUGUGGUGAUACAAUUACUAAUCUGACGUUAGUUGAGAAAGUUCUGAGGACCCUGAAUCCAAGAUUCAAUCACAUUGUGGUUGCAAUUGAGGAAUCAAAGGACUUGGAAUCAUUAUCUGUUGAUGAAUUACAAAGAUCACUUGAGGCACAUGAACAAAGAUUGCAAGAAAGAGCAAAUGAUAAGGCUACAGAACAAGCACUGCAAGCACACCAUCAAUCAAGAAAUGGUGGUUCUGAUAAUCGCAGAGGCAAGAAAGGAAGAGGGAGAUUCCAGAACACGAGAGGUAGAGGAGGUUACUCCAAAGAUAAAGGUAAACCUCAACCUGAUCAAAGAAGUGGAGAUAACUGCAGUAAAAGAAGUGGUGGUUCUGGUACUCGUGGAAGAGGAGGCAAAAAGAAAUGGGAUAAAAGAAAUGUUGAAUGCUUCAAUUGUGGAAAAAGAGGUCAUUAUGCAGAAGAAUGCUGGUAUAAGGAGAAAAAUGCUGAUGAUGAAGCACAAUUAGCCACAGGAGCUGUUUCUGACACUGAACCAGUGUUGUUGAUGGUCAUAACAAAGACUGGAGCUGAUGCAAAAGAUCAAUGGUACUUGGACACAGGAUGUUCAACACAUAUGACUGGUCACAAGGACUGGUUUGUUAGCCUUGAUGAGUCAGUAAAUCACAAGGUCAGAUUUGCAGAUGACAGCACUAUUAGAGUUGAAGGUCAUGGCAAGGUUGUGAUUAAAAGAAGGGAUGGUACAGUGUCAUACAUUGAGGAUGUGCUCUAUGUUCCAAACAUGAGAUGCAAUCUUCUAAGUCUUGGCCAACUACUUGAUAAGAAAUACAGAAUGGUGAUGGAGGACAAAGAAAUGAAGAUCUAUGACAAGGACAAAAGGUUGAUCAUCAAAGCUCCAUUCAACAGGAAUAGAACUUUUAAGGUUGGUAUUCAAGUCAUGAAACACAAUUGCUUGCAGGCUGAGACAUGUAGAGAGGAAUGGUUGUGGCAAUACAGAUUUGGACCCUUGAAUUUCAAGGAUUUGAGUCAACUGCACAGAAUGGCUCAAGGAAUACCUCACUUGAGACAGAUGACAGAUAACUGCAGAGAAUGCCUAGAGUGCAAGCAACCAAGGAAUGCAUUUCAGAAAUUUGUACCAGUAAAGUCAACACAUAAAUUGGAGGUGAUCUAUUCAAAUGUUUGUGGUCCUCUUCAGGUUGAAUCCCUAGGAGGAAACAAGUACUUUGUAACAUUCAUAGAUGACUUGACUAGAAUGACUUGGAUUUAUAUAAUCAAGAAGAAAAAUGAGGUUCCUAUAAUUUUCAAAAAAUAUAAAGCCUCAGUAGAAAAAUGUAGUGGCCACUGUAUAAAAACAUUAAGAACUAACGGAGGUGGUGAAUACACCUCCAAGGAAUUUGCUGAGUUUUGUGAUGAGGCAGGUAUCACUCAUGAGUUCACUCCACCUUAUACACCACAACACAAUGGUGCUGCUGANNNNNNNNNNNNNNNNNNNNNNNNNNNNNNNNNNNNNNNNNNNNNNNNNNNNNNNNNNNNNNNNNNNNNNNNNNNNNNNNNNNNNNNNNNNNNNNNNNNNNNNNNNNNCAAAUGCCCUACCAAGAGACUGAAAGGAGUGACACCUGAAGAAGCUUGGACUGGUACUAAACCAAAAGUGAAUCAACUCAGAAUUUUUGGUUCACUUUGUUAUAAGCAUGUCCCUGAGCAGUUGAGGCAGAAACUGGAUGAAAAAGGUGAACAAAUGAUCCUUAUAGGCUAUCAUGCAACUGGAGGUUACAAGCUACUUGAUCCAAGGUCAAAGCAGGUCUCUGUGAGCAGAGGUGUGAUAUUUGAUGAACUAAAGGAAUAUGAGUGGAAGGAGGACCCUAUAAACAAUACAACCAAGAUUCUGGUAGAUUCAAUCAUUCCAAAAGAAUUGAGUGACACUACUGAUGAACUGCCUACAAGGAACACUGAAGGAGGAACCAGGAGGUCUUAAAGGGUUAUGCAACCCUCACAAAUGUUGAAAGAUUAUGAAGUCAUGAAAGACAGCCAAAUCACAGAUGAAGGUGAUAUUGUACACUUUUCCCUAUAUGCAGAUGCUGAACCUGUGAGUUUCGAAGAAGCCUUGAAGAAUGACAAGUGAGUCAAUGCUAUGAAAGAGGAGCUGAAAUCAAUUGAGACAAAUCAUACCUGGCAGCUAAUGGCAAGUGCAUAUCUGAACAUGGAGUAUAUGUAAAAGGAGAAUAUGAGUCAGACUUAGUAAUAUUGUGCCUCUAUGUUGAUGAUUUACUCAUCACAGGAAACAACAAGGUAGAGAUUGACAAGAUUAAGCAACUGCUGAAGAAUCAAUUUGAAAUGACUGACUUAGGAUCUCUCUCAUACUUCCUUGGAAUUGAGUUCAAGGAAACUGAAGCUGGAAUUGUGAUGCAUCAAAGCAAAUAUGCUACAGACCUGUUGAAGAAGUUUCGAAUGACUAACUGUAAUGCAGCAGCCACCCCAGCUGAAACAGGAUUGGCAUUGAGUUUGAGAGAUGAAGGAGAACCUGUUGAUGAAACUCAGUACAGACAGAUUGUGGGUUCAUUAAGGUACUUGUGCAAUACAAGACCUGAUUUGGCAUUCAGUGUUGGACUGAUCAGUAGGCUUAUGCAAACUCCAAAAACUCCUCACAUGAUGGCAACAAAGAGAAUUUUGAGGUAUAUUAGAGGCACAAUUAACUAUGGUAUUCUACUGCCAAAUACCAUCACGAGUUCAAACAUGGAACUGCUUGGCUAUACUGACUCAAACUGGAUAAGAGAUAAUGAUGAUAGAAAGAGCACUGCUGGAUAUAUUUUCCUACUUGGAGAUGCACUGGUGUCAUGGAGUUCAAAAAAGCAAGAUCUUAUUGCCUUAUCAACUUGUGAAGUUGAAUACAUAGCAGCAUCAAUGUGCUUGUGUCAAGGCUUAUGGCUAAGAAAACUGUUGAAAGAAAUGAAGAUCCAGAAGACUGAAGCUAUAAACAUACUGGUGAACAAUAAAUCUGCAAUCAGCCUUGCAAAAAAUCCAAUUGAUCAUGGUCGAAGCAAACACAUAGAAACAAGGUACCAUUUUAUUCGGGACAAGGUGAGCAAAGGGAAGGAAAAACUGCUAUACUGCAAGUCAGAAGAUGAUCUUGCAGACUUACUGACUAAACCUUUGAAGAAGAACAGAUUUGAAGACUUGAGAAACAAGAUGAUGAUCAUGAUUGAAUGAGAGUCAGAAUUAUGGGGGAGUGUCAGAAAUGAUAGUAAUUCUGACUUUGUUUGUUAAGCCUUUCUAAUAUAGGAAGUUAGUUGGUUAGUUAAUAAUGUUGUAAUCAAGUUGUUAGUGAGGGACCAAAAUGCAAAAUACAAUUCAGUCUCUGUCCCUCUUAUAAAUACUGUUUUCAUUGUUCUUUCAAUAAUAAUUUUUUCAUUCUCCUUAUUUGUUAGUUUUGCUUCUCUCUAAACCUCUCUCACUUUUCUCCUUCCUCAAGUUACCUCUUUGUGCGUGUGUGUGCGCAAGAACAACAAGUUCUAACACUUUCCAGCAACAUUUUUUUUUUCUGAAAUACUUUCCAGCAGCAUCGUGCUUAACGGUUGAAUUUCUGACCACAUUUACCGCUUCUAUCUAUAGUUACACAUGUCUUUCUGCUCCCCUCCCACCCUAAAAAAAAUUGUAAAAAAGGAAAAAGACAUCGAUUAAAUAAGAAAUUUGAUUAAAAAAGGUAACAGUACUGAUUAAAAAAACUGGAAAAAAAAUAUUUAGUAUGAGAAUUAUAAGAAAUUAUAAAAAUAUUAUAGGCAACUUAAUUUUUUACUUUUUAAUAAAAAUAUAUAUAACUCAAUUUGUACACUAUUAUUCAAUAUAUAACUCAAUUUGUACACUAUUAUGUAACUCUGCAGAUUGAGUUAUAUAUUGAAUAAUAGUGUACAAAUUGACAUUGUCAACAUAGAUUUCAUUCAUAAGCAUCCUGAUCUUGGAAAAAAUUAAUUACCAGUGUUGCGAAUUCAGAUUGGCUUUAGCAAGUGCAUAUCUGAACAUGGAGUAUAUGUAAAAGGAGAAUAUGAGUCAGACUUAGUAAUAUUGUGCCUCUAUGUUGAUGAUUUACUCAUCACAGGAAACAACAAGGUAGAGAUUGACAAGAUUAAGCAACUGCUGAAGAAUCAAUUUGAAAUGACUGACUUAGGAUCUCUCUCAUACUUCCUUGGAAUUGAGUUCAAGGAAACUGAAGCUGCAAUUGUGAUGCAUCAAAGCAAAUAUGCUACAGACUUGUUGAAGAAGUUUCGAAUGACUAACUGUAAUGCAGCAGCCACCCCAGCUGAAACAGGAUUGGCAUUGAGUUUGAGAGAUGAAGGAGAACCUGUUGAUGAAACUCAGUAUAGACAGAUUGUGGGUUCAUUAAGGUACUUGUGCAAUACAAGACCUGAUUUGGCAUUCAGUGUUGGACUGAUCAGUAGGUUUAUGCAAACUCCAAAAACUCCUCACAUGAUGGCAACAAAGAGAAUUUUGAGGUAUAUUAGAGGCACAAUUAACUAUGGUAUUCUACUGCCAAAUACCAUCACGAGUUCAAACAUGGAACUGCUUGGCUAUACUGACUCAAACUGGAUAAGAGAUAAUGAUGAUAGAAAGAGCACUGCUGGAUAUAUUUUCCUACUUGGAGAUGCACUGGUGUCAUGGAGUUCAAAAAAGCAAGAUCUUAUUGCCUUAUCAACUUGUGAAGUUGAAUACAUAGCAGCAUCAAUGUGCUCGUGUCAAGGCUUAUGGCUAAGAAAACUGUUGAAAGAAAUGAAGAUCCAGAAGACUGAAGCUAUAAACAUACUGGUGAACAAUAAAUCUGCAAUCAGCCUUGCAAAAAAUCCAAUUGAUCAUGGUCGAAGCAAACACAUAGAAACAAGGUACCAUUUUAUUCGGGACAAGGUGAGCAAAGGGAAGGAAAAACUGCUAUACUGCAAGUCAGAAGAUGAUCUUGCAGACUUACUGACUAAACCUUUGAAGAAGAACAGAUUUGAAGACUUGAGAAACAAGAUGAUGAUCAUGAUUGAAUGAAAGUCAAAAUUAUGGGGGAGUGUUAGAAAUGAUAGUAAUUCUGACUUUGUUUGUUAAGCCUUUCUAAUAUAGGAAGUUAGUUGGUUAGUUAAUAAUGAUGUAAUCAAGUUGUUAGUGAGGGACCAAAAUGCAAAAUACAAUUCAGUCUCUGUCCCUCUUAUAAAUACUGUUUUCAUUGUUCUUUCAAUAAUAAUUUUUUCAUUCUCCUUAUUUGUUAGUUUUGCUUCUCUCUAAACCUCUCUCACUUUUCUCCUUCCUCAAGUUACCUCUUUGUGCGUGUGUGUGCGCAAGAACAACAAGUUCUAACACUUUCCAGCAACAUUUUUUUUUUCUGAAAUACUUUCCAGCAGCAUCGUGCUUAACGGUUGAAUUUCUGACCACAUUUACCGCUUCUAUCUAUAGUUACACAUGUCUUUCUGCUCCCCUCCCACCCUAAAAAAAAUUGUUAAAAAGGGAAAAGACAUCGAUUAAAUAAGAAAUUUGAUUAAAAAAGGUAACAGUACUGAUUAAAAAAACUGGAAAAAAAAUAUUUAGUAUGAGAAUUAUAAGAAAUUAUAAAAAAUAUUAUAGGCAACUUAAUUUUUUACUUUUUAAUAAAAAUAUAUAUAACUCAAUUUGUACACUAUUAUUCAAUAUAUAACUCAAUUUGUACACUAUUAUGUAACUCUGCAGAUUGAGUUAUAUAUUGAAUAAUAGUGUACAAAUUGACAUUGUCAACAUAGAUUUCAUUCAUAAGCAUCCUGAUCUUGGAAAAAAUUAAUUACCAGUGUUGCGAAUUCAGAUUGGCUUUAGCAAGUGCAUAUCUGAACAUGGAGUAUAUGUAAAAGGAGAAUAUGAGUCAGACUUAGUAAUAUUGUGCCUCUAUGUUGAUGAUUUACUCAUCACAGGAAACAACAAGGUAGAGAUUGACAAGAUUAAGCAACUGCUGAAGAAUCAAUUUGAAAUGACUGACUUAGGAUCUCUCUCAUACUUCCUUGGAAUUGAGUUCAAGGAAACUGAAGCUGCAAUUGUGAUGCAUCAAAGCAAAUAUGCUACAGACCUGUUGAAGAAGUUUCGAAUGACUAACUGUAAUGCAGCAGCCACCCCAGCUGAAACAGGAUUAGCAUUGAGUUUGAGAGAUGAAGGAGAACCUGUUGAUGAAACUCAGUACAGACAGAUUGUGGGUUCAUUAAGGUACUUGUGCAAUACAAGACCUGAUUUAGCAUUCAGUGUUGGACUGAUCAGUAGGUUUAUGCAAACUCCAAAAACUUAAUAUUUUUUCCUAUACGUCUAACUUAAUAUGAACUUGCUAAAUAUUUUUUUCCCUAAUUUAUUUUUUCCUUGUUUUUAUUGCAUGAUAUAGUGUAUUGUUGAUUUAUAUAGUGUGAAUUCAAAUUAUUUUACUACUAUUAUUUUGUUAUUUAGUUCAAGUUAUUUAUUUCUUUCAUUUUUAUUUUAUUUUUUUAACACAACCUAGUCAACCCAACUUAAAAAUGUAACAUCGUACUGUAUGUUUAUAUUUACAUAAAGAAAAAUGAUUUAUUUUUUACUGUGUAAUUUUUUUUUUAAUUAAUAAUAAGUCGCCCACAAUAAGUAAAAUUAAUCUAUGAUUCAGAUAAUUAAGAAAAAAACAUGCGUGUGCAAAAAAAAACAAAAAAAGAAACAACCCAGUCGCAUCCUUAUUUCUUCACAUAAUAUUUUUAUAUAUACGUCUAACUCGUCGACCAAAUUGUGGUUUCCUUGUUACUUGUGAAUCAAACAAUUGAACAGUUCUUUCUUA